GGUCUGGUGGCGAGUGGCGAUCGGGUGAGUAAUGUAUCGGAACGCGCCCAGUAGCGGGGGAUAACUACGCGAAAGCGUAGCUAAUACCGCAUACGCCCUACGGGGGAAAGCAGGGGAUCGCAAGACCUUGCACUAUUGGAGCGGCCGAUAUCGGAUUAGCUAGUUGGUGGGGUAACGGCUCACCAAGGCGACGAUCCGUAGCUGGUUUGAGAGGACGACCAGCCACACUGGGACUGAGACACGGCCCAGACUCCUACGGGAGGCAGCAGUGGGGAAUUUUGGACAAUGGGGGAAACCCUGAUCCAGCCAUCCCGCGUGUGCGAUGAAGGCCUUCGGGUUGUAAAGCACUUUUGGCAGGAAAGAAACGUCAUGGGCUAAUACCCCGUGAAACUGACGGUACCUGCAGAAUAAGCACCGGCUAACUACGUGCCAGCAGCCGCGGUAAUACGUAGGGUGCAAGCGUUAAUCGGAAUUACUGGGCGUAAAGCGUGCGCAGGCGGUUCGGAAAGAAAGAUGUGAAAUCCCAGAGCUUAACUUUGGAACUGCAUUUUUAACUACCGAGCUAGAGUGUGUCAGAGGGAGGUGGAAUUCCGCGUGUAGCAGUGAAAUGCGUAGAUAUGCGGAGGAACACCGAUGGCGAAGGCAGCCUCCUGGGAUAACACUGACGCUCAUGCACGAAAGCGUGGGAGCAAACAGGAUUAGAUACCCUGGUAGUCCACGCCCUAAACGAUGUCAACUAGCUGUUGGGGCCUUCGGGCCUUGGUAGCG
rnacentral:rRNA from 1 species